GGGUGAGCAGCAUGGAUCUUUAUGUCAAUGCCAUGGAGAUGGUCUCUCUGAGCUCCAGAGCUGAAGCUGGACCGGGAGAGGAGAGAGCAGCCCAGGGGACGGAGUAGGAGUAGAAUGAAGCUGACCCUACAUGCUGAUCUUAGCACCAUAUGUUCUUCAGAAGCUGGUCAGCAUAUGAAUAGAAUCCAUCUUCUCUCACCGUCUCCCCACAAGACCUACAUCACACAAGAUGCUUCAGAAUAACAACAACAAGCUGGUGAAGUUACUACCCAACAGGAACAGCCAUGACAACAACAACAAGCUGGUGAAGUUGCUACCCAACAGGAACAGCCAUGACAACAACAACAAGCUGGUGAAGUUGCUACCCAACAGGAACAGCCAUGACAACAACAACAAGCUGGUGAAGUUGCUACCCAACAGGAACAGCCAUGACAACAACAACAAGCUGGUGAAGUUGCUACCCAACAGGAACAACCAUGACAACAACAACAAGCUGGUGAAGUUACUACCCAACAGGAACAACCAUGACAACAACAACAAGCUGGUGAAGUUGCUACCCAACAGGAACAACCAUGACAACAACAACAACAAGCUGGUGAAGUUGCUACCCAACAGGAACAACCAUGACAACAACAACAAGCUGGUGAAGUUGCUACCCAACAGGAACAACCAUGACAACAACAACAAGCUGGUGAAGUUGCUACCCAACAGGAACAACCAUGACAACAACAACAAGCUGGUGAAGUUGCUACCCAACAGGAACAACCAUGACAACAACAACAAGCUGGUGAAGUUGCUACCCAACAGGAACAACCAUGACAACAACAACAAGCUGGUGAAGUUACUACCCAACAGGAACAACCAUGACAACAACAACAAGCUGGUGAAGUUACUACCCA
rnacentral:lncRNA from 1 species